rnacentral:rRNA from 1 species
UAUAUGGCGAGUUUGAUCCUGGCUCAGGAUAAACGCUGGCGGCGUGCCUUACGCAUGCAAGUCGAACGAAGCCUUGCCCUUCGGGGCAAGUGACUGAGUGGCAAACGGCUGAGUAACACGUAGGCGACCUACCCCGGGGUGGGGGAUAACCCGGUGAAAGCCGGGCUAAUACCGCAUACAGCCACCGGUUCAGACCGGUGGGCAAAACUCCGGUGCCCUGGGAGGGGCCUGCGUCCGAUUAGCUAGUUGGUGGGGUAACAGCUCACCAAGGCUACGAUCGGUAGCUGGUCUGAGAGGAUGAUCAGCCAGACUGGGACUGAGACACGGUCCAGACUCCUACGGGAGGCAGCAGCGAGGAAUCUUGCGCAAUGGGCGAAAGCCUGACGCAGCAACGCCGCGUGAGCGAAGAAGGCCUUCGGGUUGUAAAGCUCUUUUGUCGGGGAAGAAGAUCUGACGGUACCCGGCGAAUAAGCCACGGCUAACUACGUGCCAGCAGCCGCGGUAAUACGUAGGUGGCAAGCGUUAUCCGGAAUUAUUGGGCGUAAAGCGUCCGCAGGUGGUUUUGUAAGUCGGAUAUUAAAUCUAUGGGCCCAACCCAUAGCUCGUAUCUGAAACUACAUGACUAGAGUGUGCUAGAGGACAGUGGAAUUUCUGGAGUAGGGGUAAAAUCCGUAGAUUCCAGAAGGAACA